rnacentral:misc_RNA from 1 species
GCGACCGCCAUCAUGGCCACUGUUAUUUCCGCACACAAGUCGGCUUGAGACCUGUUCAGCUUCAACAUGAAUUGACAGUGGGAUUUUGAUAUUCAAAAUGGAUUUUUUGGACCCGGUGUGAAAAUCGGAAUGAACUGACACAAAAUCUGAGGUGAUGUUGUGUGUACAGGGCUCGAAAGGGACAAAGCGCGAGCACCUGCCAAAACCGAAGAGGUGAUAUCAUGUGAAUAUAGAUCUAUCGGUGCACUGUCGCGAUAAUUUUACAUCGUUCCACCAACAUUGACUUUUGAGUGUUCCGAAAUUUCCAAGAAUGGCGAAUAAAAUCAAAGAAUGGGUCAGCAAAAACAAACGUCGGUACAAAGAAGAUGGCUACGACCUGGACUUAACGUACAUUAUUCCCAACAUAAUAGCAAUGGGCUUCCCUGCCGACAACUUGGAAGGCGUCUAUCGCAACAACAUCGAUGAUGUAGUCAAAUUUCUGGAAGAGAAGCACAAAGACAAGUACAAGGUUUACAACCUGUGUCAUGAGAGAGACUAUGAUGCAUCCAAAUUCCACCAGCGUGUUGCUAGGUUCCCAUUUGAUGACCACAAUCCACCACGUCUGGAGCUGAUUAAGCCAUUCUGUGAUGAUCUGGACCAAUGGCUGUUGCAGGACAAGGAGAAUAUAGCAGCUAUUCACUGCAAAGCUGGCAAGGGUCGGACUGGAGUGAUGAUUUGUGCCUACAUGCUGCACAGGAAGAGGUUCCAGGAUGCGGAUGAGGCCCUCAAAUACUAUGGAAAAACAAGGACCAGAGAUUAUAAGGGAGUAACGAUACCCAGCCAGCGGAGGUACGUCCGCUACUACGGGGAGCUACUGCGCAGCGAGCUGGAGUAUAAGCCAGUCACCCUACUGCUCAAACAGAUCAAGUUUGAAACGGUGCCCAUGGUCAACGUGGGAUCAGUGUCUAUUUGCUUCGAAGUCUACCAGCUUAAAGUGAAAGUAUUUUCAUCGAGGAACUUUGAUGGCUUCAAGAAGAAAGAUGAAUCCUUUCUUAUGCCCAUGACACAGCCUGUUCCGCUGUGCGGGGACAUCAAGAUUGAAUUUUUUCAUAAAACAAGAUAUGGGAAGAAGGAGAGGAUGUUCCACUUCUGGUUCAACACGUUCUUCAUUAACGAGUGGGAGGCCUGCGACCAGCUGAACGGGGCCAGACAGAGGCUCAGUGGGGGGUCAGUGAGGGAGGAUGGGGGGGACCACACAGGGGAGGAGUACAACCAGGGCUACCUCACGCUUACCUUGCCCAAGACGGAACUCGACAGAGCUAACAAGGACAAGUCACAUAGAAAUUUUAGCCCUAAUUUUAAGGUGAAAGUAAUCUUUUCACCAAUGAAGGAGGUGGAACCAAAUCCGAACCUGGAACGCAGUAAAAGUGCUGACAAUAUGAUCUGCAAGACAUGCAAGAGAGGGGACGAGUACACACAGCCUCGGUCACAGACCUCGGACAAACUGUGGGUACCUCAAACACAGCCCAUGGAUUGCAGCAGCAGUAGCACUCUGUCAAGUUCUGUGACCAAGCUGAGUCUAAGCGAACACUCUAUACCCAACCGAGUUCUCCUCAUGCCGCCAGAUAAUGCUUUAAACAAUCACCGGAUGGGGGGCGGCGAAGGGGGCAGCGAUACCGCCUCCGUAUCAGGGAGCGCGGAGGGUGUGUCCCUUGGGGGCUUCAGUGACGACGAUCUCUCGGAUACGGAAUCAGACAAUGAGUGGGAUGGUUGUGAAGUGACCCAAGUAUGACCCCUGACCCCUGACCCUGUGGGUUGAGCCAAUGAGAGGCUGGGUGUAUUUUGCCUUACAGGUGUAUUGUUGACGUGUUACAAUCUACAUCCAGUUGUUGAUACUUCGGACUUUACAAGCUUGUGUUUGCUUCACGCUUUCUUGUAAGGAAGCUGGGCAUAGUUAAUUCAAGUUAUAUUUUUGUGGGUUGAAUGGUCACAAUUAUUUCUUAAAUUUUCUACUACUAGAUGGCUUUAACUGAGCAAAAUCCUUUAUUUUCUUUCCAUGAGUAUUUUAGACCAGAUCAGUUUGAUUCAAGUUCUGAAAAAGUAGCCAAUUUCACUUUUAUAAAGAAGACUUUGUCUUGCAAGGUGAAUAACAUAUAUAUUUGUUUAUCUCAAAACAUAGAGUUAACAUUUGUGGAUAUUAUUACUUGUUUCAGUAAAGCUGUCCAACUCUAUGUUGAUCCAAUGUAAAGUUGAUUAGUACUACUCAUGAACUUGUAUGUAAAUUGAAAACUGAUCUGGUCUUGGGUAAUAACCUCCGUCAAUUUUAGUGAUUUAGUUAAUGUUUCCUCUGUUGUAUUUACUACUACUUUCCUAGUGAAAUAGAUAACAGAACAGGUGGCUUAAAUGGCAGAUUCUGUUGAAAAAUAGGAAUCCCAUUGUGUUACAUCACAUUUCUCGUAUCUUGUUUCAGGAACGUAAAACAAAAUAUUUCAGAUGCAUGAGUGAAUGUUGUGUUAUGCCGUAGACAGCAAUGUUACAGCAAUACUACGGUGGCCUGUUAUGUCCAUCCAUGUGUGCAUCGCUCUUCGAUUACAGUGACACUAAGCCAACCAGGACAUUUCACAAACUGAUCUUUCAAUUGAGACGAUCGUAAAUCCUCUUAACAUGGAUUUACGACAUAGUGUUGGCAUCGCUUUGUGAAAUGGAACCAGGGCGUAGUUCCACAUUGUGAUCUUAGCGCUAAGAUUAUUUCAAUUCCUGUUCUUUAACUUACACUGGUGAUGAUCAGAGUGUGGAAUGAGGACACUCUUUGUUCCAUGAAGUGACUAUUGUAACAUCUGUGACUAUUGCAAGUCUCUUCCUCUAGCCUAGACUUGCCAGUUCCAUUGCGCUUUGACUGCUUUCUGGAACAAGUCGAGGUGAAUGCGCACAUAUUGGACAUGCCAGGCGUCAACCAAUCAGAAGUCGUUGUGACCACCCAAUCCUGUUUAGUCUGCUAGCAUGGGGUACUUGGGACCUGUGCUUUCCCAGAAUCCCCACAGAGGACCAAAUGAAGUGCCAAUAAUUGUUGUACAGCUUUCUCUACAUCUAGUUCCUUGAUCCAUGAAUCAGGAAACUUGUUAGCUGGCUAUCUAUUGCAGUGGAACCCUGCCCAGUUUGGGCGGCUGUUUUAUCAACAGCUCCAUAGAAGGAAAUUAGGUAUCAGACAGGAACAAAUGGUAGUCAAUUUUCACUUCUUUAAGGUCAAAGAGUUUAGGUUUUGUUUGCAAUUAUUUUUAAAUCUUUAGAUUGUGCCAAACUUUGAAAGUACUUAGUUCUUCCUAGCUUAAUCAUAUGCCAUAGUACUUUCGGGCAGUGUGACAAGCUGGCCAGACAAGAUGGCUGUUCCUGAGGGCAGAUUUGGGGUCCAUUUUUAUGUUGAAGGAUUAGGUCGAUAUUCAUGCAACUUAAAACUUGUUCAGCUUGACCUGAGCUACUCUACAUAUGCAUGACCUGGGAGGUUAAAAGGCACAAAUGGCAGGUCGAGUUUACUUCAUUAAAGAGGGGAGCAGAGAAUGUUAUCAAUGUUGCUAUUCGGCCCCUGGUUGCACUGGAAACAUCAGUUGCUGCUGCCUAAAAGCCCGAAUCGAAAACAUUAAACUAUCUGUAGCUUCAUUUUUAAAGAAAGUUAGGAUAUUGCUGACGAUUUCUUGACAGUGAGAUGUCAAACGGCGACCUUGUCUCGGCUGUUCGGACAUGUUGACAAUCAACUGAAAAAGGUGCACCCCUUCACAAUAAUAGACCCAACCAGUUGUGACACGGUCACGCAAUGCAUUAGUAUUCACUUGAUCAGGUCAAGCAGAUACAAACAGGAAUCUUCUUCUCUUUCCCUUAUUCAAACACGUUGAACUUUUCUCUAUAUUUCUGUUGGGCAUUAGCUUAAUUUAGCUACAGUUGAACUAGAAGUUAUCAGUUUAAAAAAUGUUACAGUGUUACUCAAUGCAUCUUAUCAGGGCUUCCAAUCGUAGAAUCAUGUAGUAUUUUGUUGCUGAAGAAACAAAGAAAUAUAGUUUUGUUUGUUUCAAAAUAGGAAUAUGCAGUCAAGCAUCAUGACAUUGUAAAACUGAGUUCAAGAUAAGCAAAGAAAAAUAUUCAGAAAAUUAGGCAUCACUGAAUAGAUGGACUGACAUCAGUGUGGGGCAGUAUCGCAGCAAUGGCGAACAGAGACGAAUGAUUAUUGACUUUUGACAUAUUUAAGUGAACACUUUAGCCUCAACGCUAGCACCUCCCAUGAAGGAAACAGGAUUAUAGUCAAAGGACAAGGAUAUUGUGUAGUUGGACAUUCUUCAUAUCGACAGACACUUUGGGUUUUUUAGAGCAGUUAGUGAAAAGAACCAAGAAUUGUCUAUAUACAGUUAAUCCGUUGUAGGGUUUGACUUGCAAAUAAGAACUUUCAGUUUAAGAAUCCAACCUCAGUGGAUUGAUGAGAGUUCAGUUUACCCUAGUCAGAGAUUAACUCCAAUAUGUUUGUUAGCUCAUCAAACCCAGUGAAAUGGUGAUGUUUGACUGCAGAAAACAUAAAACAAGGCAGUGCUAUUAUUUAUGAACACAAAGAAAGAUACUGUUUCUAUGGAGAUAGCAGUGUUUCAGGGACCCAAGACACCUUGGGGUAUUUGAAUCUGAGGAUCCUGUAAAUUGUUAGGUUAAGACAGGUGUCCUUGACCUUCCUCCACUGGGGAGGGUUCCACUGCAUUGUCCCAGAAUCGGCUGACUUGACAUGUGAAGGCAGCUGGCUAUCAUAGCAGUUCUCUCUCGUCGAUUUCAUCCUUACAUUGCAUGUAUAUAACUCCUGGCAAUGCUUUAAACACACAAGCAUGUAGGGUAGGUGCACCCACUCGUUGUACAUUUCAGAUGUAGGUAUCUACUCAGUACUUAACCUCAUCACAUCAGACACAUCAAGUCCAAAGAAAUGUUGUUUCACUCCAGGGCCUUGUUUCACAAAUCGAUUCCAGCGCUGAGGCAAUUGUAACACUUAUAACCGUCGUGCGUAACGAUCGCUUUGUGAAAACAGGCCCUGAUCUAGACGAAGUGAAGUCUUUUUAUUUUUCUAUACAAAGCAAACAAGUUUGGGGUCUUUUUUAUGAGUAGCAGUUUAUGUUGGAUGAAGUUUACAUGUGAUAAAAAAUGAAAUCGAAAAAAUCAAUGAAUUUUUCAUAGAAAGAUAUCUGUUGAUGGAAACCUUCAAAUUUAAAAGAAACAGUUUCCAUAGCAACGAAAUACAUGAGAUCAUGUUCAACUUAUCACCAAAACAUAUCUUUAUUUUCAGAAUAUACUAUUUUCAUUAAAUGAUUUCCCCACUGACCUUUUUUCACAUUUGACAUGAAUACAAUAUUGUAUGAUAUUCAGCAUUCAAACCUAGGGCUAACUUGUUACUUUUUGAAGAUUGUAUAGAUUGGUUGAUUUCAUUGGAAAAUAUUUUAUAAUGUUAAUUAUCGAUUGUUAUGUAUUGUUAUGUGUCUUGAGAGUGUGUGACGACGAGGUCCUUAUUGCCUGGUGUCUGUCAGACAUCAACGCCGUUCGUCGUAGUUAUGUUUGUUAUUAUUGCUGUCUGAGGGGAUUGUCAUUAGUGCUGGGAGAAACACACCUUGCUCUUCUUUACUGUUUCAAUACUUCACAGGCUUGCAUGCUCGUUGUUCCUCCUUCACACAUCCUGGGGUCAAACUGCAAUGUAGCCGUGACGUGUUUUGUUUGGAAAUGAGACUACAUCAGCUCUAGAAAUUUAGGAUCGAGGACUGAUGUAACCCUUAGUUCUCUAGUCUUCUGAGUUUUUAGCUCUCCCUGUUUGAAUGAGAGAAGAAAGAAUUCCAUUUUAACAUUGUCAAUUCAGUUCCCAUAUUACCCAAACUGAAAUAUUUAACACUGCUUCAGGGUAAAAGGCCUCAAAUACUUAUCAAUGAGGGUCUAACGUCAUCCAGUUUUCACUUGCCAUCAGCACAAAGUAGUAGUCUCGAGCUUGGGGGUUAUCAUGAAUUUUUAGGGCUGCCGAUGGGAGACAAAUGAGUGUAUGUAUUGGGUUUGUCGAGAUGACUGCUGCAUCUUUGGCUUGUUUAUAUCAACUUAAAAUAGGUUGAAUGAGUUCAGGUUUCACACUGAUUCCUAGAGUAUUUUUCUCAUAUCACAUUGACAUUAGGAUUUUAUUUUUGAGCGGAGAAAAUUAAUUUUAAUAUUUUUCUUGUUCUUGAAAAAUUACGACUGGUAGAUCCGUAUAACAAAAUAUAAGAUUAGUCUGGCCUUAAGUUAUAUUUGAACAGUAAUGGAACAGACAUUUUCAUGAUUUGCAUACAUGAAACAGCCUACCUAAAGAUAUAUUUCAGGUGGAGCAGAGCUAUUUCUGCGUCAGUGAUGAAGAAACAUUUUCCUUACCAAUAAAUUUGGUACGCAAAGUAAGAAUAAGUUGAAGGGAGCCAUUGCUUGGUGGAUAUGGUGUUGUGGCAAUGUGGACACUCCAUCGUACAACCUUAUUACACAAUCUGACUGUUUGUAAUAUAGUUGUGUAUCUAGGAAUGUACAUUUAUAUUGUUUUUAUGAAUGUUUCCUGACGAGCGGCAAACUGUUGAGCAAGUAUCAUUAUCAGUGCAUAGUUUGAGAAAUGUUUUUAAUUUGUUCUCAUGUUUUAUGGUAUAGCUAAUUGCUUUGUGUGAAGGAAACCAUAAACCCAGAGCUUGACACCUCGUGAAUGCAUCUCUACUAUGACAGUGACGAGUUACGUGUACCCAAGCCACAGGAACUGAUUCUACCACAAUUGGAUAGGCAGUUGUCAGUUGGACAUCUCUUAUUUAAAGAUGUUUUCAACAGAUUCUACCUCCCAACACCCCUUUCUGGAUGAUAUAGGGGGCCAAAAUAUAUAUAGGCAGAAUGUAAAAAAAAGUAGGGAGAAAAGGCAGGUUAAUUUAUUCAGUUACCCAUUUCAAAGAUAUUUUUCAUAUGUAAUUAUUUUUUUGUAAUUUAAAAAAUAUAAAUAAAUAAAAUUACCUAUUUCAAAGAUUUUUUUAAUUUUUGAAUAAGUUAAUUGGUUCAGCAGGAGGUGAAAAGUGAAAUAUUUUGACUGGAGUUAAAACAAGAAACACCCCAAUAACCUUUUUGAGCAUAUUCCUGACACUGAGCAGUUGUUACACAAUCAGUAUUGACAUGGUUUUGGUGCAUUAUUGCCACUUGCCACUAGUUUAGUGUGAAGGUGGAAGAAAAUUGCUGCUUUCUUUUCAUUAACCCAAAUCUAUUAUUUCUCUUAGUAGAGAAUAGAUGUCAGUGCCUUUUGAGGUUUAGAAAUAUGCUGACAAUUUCUCAGCAUUAUUUAGUUUUCAGAAAAUAAUGACAUCAACGAACAAAUCUGGACUCAAUACUGUUUUGAACCAUAUUGUGUAACUGUCUUCAGAACUUUGCAAAUUUACCGUCUAUACUUCUGUUUUGUGUUCACUUUGCUAGUACAGAUGCAUUCAUGAUGGGAACAAAUUUUUCUGCGAAGUCUUCUGAACUGUUUUUGCAGUAGAAGUCACAAAAAUCUGAGUUUAUGAAUGUGAAUGUUAUUGUGCUUCAUAGUUCAGAAUCUUUCAAAUUACCAGAGGGAAUCAGUCAUGGCAUGGCAGGUUACCUAUAGUAAUAGGAAAGAAUCAGUUGUUCUUUUACUUCUUUCUUAGUAGUAUAUGAUUCAGUAGAUAACACAAUCAUCACCUUCAUGAACCCAGACCAUCGUUUUCCAAGAAUCUUGUUACUGUUCCAUUUAGGUUUUUUUUUUUGCUUGUACUUAAAAGUAUUGAAGGUGUAAUGUAUGACCAAGUCAGAAAUCUUGUACAAUAUUCCACAAAUGUUUGUUUGUGCAGUUGUCGACACAAACAGGAUCUCUAGUCCAUCAGUGUAACAUAAUUACCAUAUUUACAAUAAUAUGCCCAAUACAAACGAGUACCUGGUAAUCAGGGAGAGUUCUAGCAACAAGCUGAGUUCUAGAGAUCUAGCUGGAACAAGAUUCCUACAGAUCUAUCUCCCGAGUCCUUAAAAGUCACAGAAAGUUCAAGUUGUACAGAGAAUGGAAAACUGUCUGAAAAUUUGUCAAAGAUUGUUACAUCAUUUUGCUCAUGGCAUAUCCUGUUGUACAGUGAAUGUCUGUUAAUCCAGAUUGUACAAUCCAGGUGAAAAUGUCCAGAUCUGAAAACUUUGUGAGCAACAAGUCACUGGGACGGUUCGAUUGCCCUCUGAUGUUCCCAAACAGUGAAGGUAGAUACCAGGGUUUCAGGAUUUCAUUUUUAUACCUUCAAGAAUAUGUAUCACUGAAGCUAAGUUUUGUUAAAAAUAUUUCUUCAUGCAUAUUACCUUUGAUGUGCUUGUGGAGGAGGAUGUAUGACAAAGGUUUGCCAAUCUAUUGAAGUCUUGAGUGUCUAUUUUUGUCAGCAAACUAAGACUGCCUUAAACUAAGUCUCAACACUCGCAUGAGAUUUGAAGUUUGAAGUCAUAAUCUCGAUCAUGAAUCAUGAAAUUGGAAAUGCUUCGAUGAAAUAUCCACAAACUGUGGGUACUUCCAUUGCCCACUUUUUGAACAACCUAACAAUGGGCAUAGACCAAACUAUGCUUCAGCAGUCAGGUACUCUAUGGAAUUAAAUAGUGUUUUGUUUUACCCUUGUUUUUAUACAUUCAGAUACACUCAACACUAAUGCUUUAUGAAAGGCACACAUAGUACUCAAAGUAGCCACCAGGUUUAGCACCUUGAGUACUGAACUUCAAGCCUCUUCCAAUGUGUGGCCAUUUUGUCCAUUUUGACAAUUGUUGAAAUAUUCCUAGUUAUGAAGAUGUAGGCAAAUGGUGAUAUUGAGACUGUGUAUGAACAGAGUGUGCCCUUUCACUGACUGUAAGACUUUAACUUGUCGGAACAGUCAUAGGCCAUCCGUGUCUGGAUGCUGCAAUGACAUUCUGUGGCCUACUGUCUUUGGAGGAACGUCACAGACCACCAACUUGUUGAUUAAACAACUAUCAUGGUUCAAUGUAAUAAAUGAUAUUUUCAUAA